rnacentral:rRNA from 1 species
UGCCAGCCGAGCGGUAGAUUACUUUCGGGUAAUUGAGAGCGGCGUACGGGUGCGGAACACGUGUGCAACCUGCCUUUAUCAGGGGGAUAGCCUUUCGAAAGGAAGAUUAAUACCCCAUAAUAUAUUAUUCGGCAUCGGGUGAUAUUGAAAACUACGGUGGAUAGAGAUGGGCACGCGCAAGAUUAGCUAGUUGGUGAGGUAACGGCUCACCAAGGCGACGAUCUUUAGGGGGCCUGAGAGGGUGAUCCCCCACACUGGUACUGAGACACGGACCAGACUCCUACGGGAGGCAGCAGUGAGGAAUAUUGGACAAUGGGUGGAAGCCUGAUCCAGCCAUCCCGCGUGCAGGAAGACGGCCCUAUGGGUUGUAAACUGCUUUUAUCUGGGGAUAAACCUACUUACGUGUAAGUAGCUGAAGGUACCAGAAGAGUAAGCACCGGCUAACUCCGUGCCAGCAGCCGCGCUAAUACGGAGCCUGCAAGCGUUAUCCGGAUUUAUUGG